rnacentral:rRNA from 1 species
AUGCGCUGCUCAACUGGGUCAUCGUGGCCAGGCUCGGCCGUGGCCUCCUGGGCGCGGCCAUGGUCGGCAACGCCUCCUGGUGGCUCAUCAAUGCGACGUAGUUCGUGUACGUCGUCAAUGGCUCCUUCCCGGAGGCGUGGACGGGGUUCUCGCGCAACGCGUUCGCCAGCCUCUGCGGGAAUGAUUUUUGUGCUGCAGCUUAGAGAUGUGUUACUACACGGCAGUAAUCGACGCCACGGCCGAGCAAGAGGAUUCCGUUGCUGCGCACAACCUGGUCGGGUGGUCGUCAUUUUCUCCGCCUUGGAGAGCACCACCUGA